rnacentral:lncRNA from 1 species
AGAUUUUUCAAAGAUAAAAUUCUCCAGAAUUCUAGCAUCUCUAGGAAUAGAUAAACAGCAGCUCAACCUUUCCAUAUCAUAUCCGUUAACAACUUAGAUUUCAGAUCAAGUUUUCAUCCCACAAGUUUAGAUCUAGAGCAAGCUUUAAAUUAUAACAGUUAUGUCUAAACUUGAGAGAGAACUUCAAAUUUGCAAAUUAGGCAGAGCAAUUAUUCAUCAUAUCCAUGCUAGAGUUUUAUUAUUAAGAUUCAUAGCAAACUUUAUUUAUUUAUUUAUUUAUUUAUUUAUUUAUUUAUUUAGCAAACUAAGAAAAUAUAUAUAUAUAUAUAUAUAAGCAUAAAAUCUUUAUUUGGUUUUUCAUAGUUUAUGUAUUUUAAUAUUCUAAUAUAAUAUAAGUAUAAAGAUAGGUAGAAAUACUUAGCGAGAUAAAUAGGGGUGCUCUCCCCCAAGCUGAAUUUUGACGUAAUUUCUCUUGAUGUAGCUAGCAGGUGGCAGAGGUGUAUUUGAAAGUCACCAGCAUUCUGACAGCGAUUAGAAUGUCCUCCAUCUGCUAGUCUUCUUGAUUCUUAAAUUCUGUGAAGCUCAAAUAGACAACAAAGCUUGUGGAACUAAUUAAGUGUUAGCAUAAAUAUCUAGCCUUCAUCACGUUGAGCUUCCUCAAUAAAUAUUACUCCCUGUUUUUAUAUUUUUAUUUUAUAAAGUAAAAAAGAAAUAUUUAUUUUAUUUUUAUGCCACCAGAGUGAAGGUACUUAUGGGUUUUAUGCCACUCGUAUACUCACAUGGGGCUUAGUAUUUUUUUAACAUUUUUAUUUUCUUUUCAAGAUAGCAUGAUUAACUAAUAAUCUAUUUAAGGCAAGUAAAUAAUUAAAGGGAAAAGGGAAUGCAGAAAGGAUAAAUAUGGAUACUACCAAUCUUACCUUUCGGCGAGGGUUCAAUGUUUUAAGUCUUCUUGACAAGACUUAUCACCGUGUUCAUUCUUCAGUUGCGUCAUUUGAUUCAGGUGCGGACCUUGACGUCUGCACCUUUUAAUACGGUGUCACCCAUGUUCUUUGUUUGCCCAGCAGUUCGAAGUGAGGUGUUAGCAGUAUCUUGCUCAGUGUGUUUGUGCUCGUAGUGUACCUGCUCAUAGAGACAAGGCAGAGAUCAAGUGCAUGGGCCCUGUUGGUGGAAAACACCAACAGAACCAAAAGUGUAUUUGUUCUUCUCUAACCUUAAGCAUAGUGAGCAAGACAAAGUUGAUGGAUGAUAAGUUCAUGAGUGUAGCACUUAUAACAUUUGUCGGAUCAGAUCGCUCAACCUUAUGGAAAGAUAAUCUAUUUAUGUAUAUGUCUUUUUCUUUAUAUCUCUCAAUGAUUGAAUGUGUAACAUUUUAGCUCAUAUGAUUAGGAGUGUGGGAUCAUGGAGGUAGUACUAAGAACAAGGAUUAAAGGACUAAACAUGUUGAAUCAGUUGGGUUGGUUAAUCUAGAGUUGUAAAUCAUACACGUUUGUCUCUUUUAUUUAUAUGAACGCCAGAACCAAGAAGAAGCUUAUAAAAGUGAUAGUCAAGUACCUUAGGAUGUUACCUUGCUUGAAAAGUGAUGGUACAGUAUCACCUUGUGGAAGCUUUCCUUUCUUAGCGGUUGUGCAUCGUGUUCGUGGCACCCUCCAUGGAUCAUCUCUCUAUGAUGAAUGAGCUAUGUCCUUCUUGUGCAAAUUGUUAAACUUCAUGUGUCACUCUCUUCGUCUCUGAUGUGAGUUUAUCUCAGGACUUCCCAAAUCGAUAUUGAAAGUUUUUCUGUAGGGGUUAGUCCGACAAAAUAUACCAAUAUCUACUCAAGCAGUUUUUUUUAGUUCAAUAACCAAACUAGACUCCAUGUCUAAUCAGAUUAAGGAAGGCUAUUUAACCUAAGCACCAUGCUUAAUUUAAAUGCCAAUGGAAGUAUGGCGAGUACUUCCAAACCAACACUUGCUAGUAAAUAGACAAAGGUAGCAUGACAGCAUUUAUAGAGAUCUACUCAAGUGGAGAUGAAGUAGUGUGAUUAGUAUUUA